UCAAACUUAAAAAGAAUUGUCAAGGUCCUU
rnacentral:piRNA from 1 species